AAAUUGAAGAGUUUGAUCAUGGCUCAGAUUGAACGCUGGCGGCAGGCCUAACACAUGCAAGUCGAACGGUAACAGGAAGCAGCUUGCUGCUUUGCUGACGAGUGGCGGACGGGUGAGUAAUGUCUGGGAAACUGCCUGAUGGAGGGGGAUAACUACUG
rnacentral:rRNA from 3 species